rnacentral:rRNA from 1 species
AUUGAACGCUAGCGGGAUGCCUUACACAUGCAAGUCGAACGGAGUGGCGAACGGGUGCGUAAUGUAUCGGAACGUGCCCAGUAGCGGGGGAUAACUACGCGAAAGCGUAGCUAAUACCGCAUACUAUUGGAGCGGCCGAUAUCGGAUUAGCUAGUUGGUGGGGUAACGGCUCACCAAGGCGACGGUCCGUAGCUGGUUUGAGAGGGCGACCAGCCACCCUGGGACUGAGAAACGGCCCAGACUCAUACGGGAGGCAGCAGUGGGGAAGUUUGGACAAUGGGGGAAACCCUGAACAAGCCAUCCCGCGUGUGCGAUGAAGGUCAUCGGGUUGUAAAGCACGGUUGGCAGGAAAGCGGUACCUACAGAAUAAGCACCCGCUAACUACGUGCCAGCAGCCGCGGUAAUAC